rnacentral:tRNA from 1 species
GGUAGUGGCUCGGCGGUAGAGCGCUCGCCUAGCACGUGUGAGACCCUGGGUUCAAUCCUCAGCACCA